GAUGAACGCUGGCGGCGUGCCUAAUACAUGCAAGUCGAGCGAACAGACGAGGAGCUUGCUCCUCUGACGUUAGCGGCGGACGGGUGAGUAACACGUGGAUAACCUACCUAUAAGACUGGGAUAACUUCGGGACACCGGAGCUAAUACCGGAUAAUAUAUUGAACCGCAUGGUUCAAUAGUGAAAGACGGUUUUGCUGUCACUUAUAGAUGGAUCCGCGCCGCAUUAGCUAGUUGGUAAGGUAACGGCUUACCAAGGCAACGAUGCGUAGCCGACCUGAGAGGGUGAUCGGCCACACUGGAACUGAGACACGGUCCAGACUCCUACGGGAGGCAGCAGUAGGGAAUCUUCCGCAAAGGGCGAAAGCCUGACGGAGCAACGCCGCGUGAGUGAUGAAGGUCUUCGGAUCGUAAAACUCUGUUAUUAGGGAAGAACAAAUGUGUAAGUAACUAUGCACGUCUUGACGGUACCUAAUCAGAAAGCCACGGCUAACUACGUG
rnacentral:rRNA from 1 species